UGCGGUCCCUCCACCACUAACAAAGAAACAAGAGCAAAAGUAUGUUGCCAAGAUGGGGGGGUGGGGGUGGUCAGGACACUAUCACAGGUUGAACCCCUAGGCUAUUCUUCAUGUCACACCAGUUACCUUCCUAUAUCCUGGGUUGGUAGGGGGGAGUUAAUUUUAUUGUAUUCUGUUUAGGUUUUGAUUUUGCCCUCAACCCUGCUGAGCACUGUGACUAACAUGUCACAUGCUCCGUUCUGUCUCCAGGGUGAGAUCAAAUAAAAGAAACCUGAGAGCUGGUAAUUCCAGUUAGGGAAGAAAAGCCCAGCCUAGCAUGAACAGCAUUCAGAUAUGUGUUGCUUACUUGGACCCAAGAUGAUGGCCAAAGUGGGCAAGGGACUAAAAGGACACAAAGCUGCAAUGCAGAAAGGUUUACACUGCAGCAUCCUCAUACAAGUCAAAGCCAGCAGCAAAUACACAAACCGGUAUAAUAGGUCACCCAUCACUGGGGUGCAGGGUAGUGAAACUCAGCAGGGUUCUCUCUCCCAUGACCAAGUCACUUGUGAGCAAAUACAAAUGCUGUCAGUCCCCUGUCCCUUGUCCCCCAUCCUGCCCACCUCUCUCUCCCCUGCCCCCAAGAGUACCAGACCUAGUGUAGACUCAAAAAAUAAAACUCCUGGGCAGAACUAGCCAAAGACCUCACUAAAAGGGAAGCUGCUGCAGCAGUUGAAGUCUGGCUCUAGUGAAGUGGUCAGGCUACUUUACAUAGAUUUAAUUCAGUAUGCUCUUUCCAUUGACUACCUGUUUCCUCUUUCCAUUGACUACCUGUUUCCUUUCUUCCAUUCCAUGUCUUACUCUCCUUCAGCCAUGGCUCCCCUGUGUUACCUGUUUUUCAACAGCUAAAAAGCAAGGGGCUGGGGUCCUGUAGCAUAGGGUAAAUAACUGUGAUUUGGAAUUUCUGUUAUGAGCAGCAUUGGCUGUACUGAAAUAACUAGCCAAAAAGUGCAUAGUGGAUUGUUGUGGACAUUGAUCCCUUUUUUCCCCGCUCUGCAUUAUCUUGAUUCCUUGCUUCCUUCCCUGCUGGAGAUGAAGGGUAUGGAACAAAAAACCUAGGACUCUGGUCAGAUUUACUGUUAUGGACAAGAAUGUGUGAAAACCAGGGAGGAUCUACAGCUGGCCUCUCGGGAAGAGAUUUGGUCAGGAAUAUGACUAGCUGUAGAGGAGGAAAAUGGUGGAAUUAAUCAUUCCCUAGCUGAGAGGUCAAAGGAAGCAUGUCUGACUACAUUCAGUAUGUGGAGGAUGUGGAAAAGGAGAGGAGGACUUUGCAAAAUAUAACUACUUCAAAGCUAACUACUACUUUUUACACCCAAGUGGACACUACUAACAGUGUCUCAAUAGGCUUUCACCCCGCACCUCCUCAGACAAUAUAUUAACAAAAUGCAGAAGUCCUAGGUGUUUAGCAGGUGCCUUGAAAUGAUGGUAUCUCAUAAUUUUAUGCAAGGCAUUCCACCCUAGAGUCAAAGGGCAACAAACUGAGGUGACUCAGGGGCUCCAAGCCAUUUCCCCAAGUGUCCUGUUCUGUGUCCUUGGGGCUUUGAGAUUUUCCCCCUGAAGUGACUCUUCACACCUAGCAAAUCUCAGUCUAACUAGUACUACAGCUAGUCCUUGCAGCUUAGUGGGGGAAGGCUCCAUCAACUCUCAGAUUCUCUCAGGCCUGCAAAAGGACAGAGAUCUGCCAUUUUUGUGAGAAUGGAAUGCCCAUGGUUGUCAGCACCCCUGAAAUCACUCAACACAAAAUAAUUACUAAGGCAUAAAACAGAGAAUAAGAUUUAUUACAUAGGAUAGGAAGAACACACAAGGAAAAGGAACUGUUAAGCUUGGAGACAAAUAUGCAAAACAAUAGAAAUAUCUCACUUCUGUCUUCUCGCUUGAAGCAGCUUCCAAAUGACUUUUGUCUUGUGUUUGUGUGAGCUAGCAAUCCUGCCAGCUUUUCCCAGCCUCCCUAUCUAGGAUCUCUCUGUCUUCUCUUAGACACCAGGAGACCUAGAUGUGACUUCUCUAAUUGCUAUUUCCCAUGUUUCAUUUCUUGUUCUAUUGCUCAGCGUACACAUUUGCCUUGGUAGAUGCUCUCCUUCCCCUGGACAGACAGCUGUCUGACAAUUUUGUGUGUCCUUUCUGACAUGCAACUGAUAGAUUUUCCUUCUGAAAUGCAUUUGGCUGUUGUUUCAUACAACCUCUAUUCCAUGUAAAUACUCAAAGAGUUUUGCCACCUCCAUCUGAUGGGUGUACAGGCCAAAGCCGUUCUGAGGUAUAACCAUUGUCUAGUGAGAGGUGCUUUUGUCAUCUGAGCUGACUAUAAACCCACUGACAAUUUCUUGAUUAGGUCAGAUUACGAAAGUAGAAAGAGAUACAUUCAUAUAAAAUACCAUGUUUCAUAAGAAUGCAAAUGUAGCUCUUUAGCUGUUAUAACAGGCCAAACGUGAGGGUAGCAAACCUAAUUUGGGGAAAUAUCUCUGCUUGUAUAAAUAAUGUUCCCUGAAAUUAAAAACAGCAUAAAUGUGUAACCCAUGACACAAAGCAAUGUUAAUAGAAUCUGUUUCUUCAGAAUAAUUGCUUUCUUUUUCUGUUAAAGUGAGAGCCGCCCCCAAGUUCUGCAUUCUGAUUUUUAUGACAAUUUGGUUUGCAGUGACAGCUAGCCUACAAUAAAGUUUUAUUCUUUUGAAAGAUAA